UACGGGGGGGGCAAGCGUUGUUCGGAAUUACUGGGCGUGAAGGGCUCGUAGGCGGCCAACUAAGUCAGACGUGAAAUCCCUCGGCUUAACCGGGGAACUGCGUCUGAUACUGGAUGGCUUGAGUUUGGGAGAGGGAUGCGGAAUUCCAGGUGUAGCGGUGAAAUGCGUAGAUAUCGGGAGGAACACCGGUGGCGAAGGCGGCAUCCUGGACCAACACUGACGCUGAUGAGCGAAAGCCAGGGGAGCAAACGGG
rnacentral:rRNA from 1 species